UAUAUAUAUAAUAUCACAGUAUUACAUAGUAUUAUACUUAUGGUAGACCAACUGACAUUAGAUUAUUAUUACGAGCUUCAAAAGCUUGACUUAAAUAACUACAUAUUUGUCUGGUGUUAACUAGAUUUACUGGGUUAAGUAAAUAGAUCGUUGAUUUAAUAUCAUCAUCAUUAUUAAGGUUUUUGAAAAUAUCAAACUUCUCUCGAAGGUCUUUAUAUAGAGGACAAUGUAAAAGAAAAUGAACUUCAUCUUCCACUUUAUCUUUACAAAGUUUGCAGUAUCUUUCACUUGCUAAAAUUUUUGGUUUGCUAUACCUCCCAGUUUCAAUUGCAAGUGAAUGUGCACUUAUUCUAAUUUUUGUAAGCAGUGACCUAUCAUAUUUUUUAAUAUCAAAUCUUAAGUAAGCUUUCAAGUCAAAUGAUGAGCACAUUUUACUAUAAAAUCUUAGUUUACCUGUGUUAUUAGAUUUAAUAUUCUCAAGUUGACCCAAAAUCUUGCAUUUAUAAAAGUUUUUCAGUGAGUCCUCAAACAUAUUAUGUGAUAUUUGAAGUGAAUCAAAGUUGAUUAACUUUUUUAGUUUAUGUAAGGACUGUACCCAGCAAGCGCUCUUUUGUGUAUACAGUUUUUUAUCUUCAAUGAAUGCAGAUUUUAAUAGAACAAAUUUUGGGUUGUUUCCAACUUCAAUGUCAGUUAAUCUAGCAUAGUAUUUAAACAUUAGUUUAUAUGAUAUAAAACACGCUGGAUAUAGCUCAAGUUCUGUACGUAAAGCUAAAUUGGAAGCCUUACCAUGAACACCAAGAACAUUUUUCAUAAUCAUAUUCUGAACCUUUUCAAAUGGUAGUUU
rnacentral:lncRNA from 1 species